GAGGAUUUAGCUCAGUGGUAGAGUGUGUGCUUAGCAUGCACGAGGCCCUGGGUUCAAUCCCCAGUCCCUCC
rnacentral:tRNA from 1 species